AAAAGUUAACUUGGAUGUGCCUCUAGAAGUUAGUAUGUUAAGCUGAACCAACUUGAUUGGAUUCGCUGUCCGUACAUAGGGCUUGUUUUCCAAAGAAAAAUAUUGUUUAGAGUAGCAAACUUAUAAGCCUGCUCAGGCAUGUUGUAAAGCCGCUGGAAAAGUAACUUGGAGCAAGUUUUGUGAAUGGAAAUGUAGUGCUCAAGUCACAUUCUGCUUUAAAAAGUUGUAACAAAUACAGAUGAAUU